rnacentral:snRNA from 1 species
AUACCUUUCUCGGCCUUUUGGCUAAGAUCAAGUGUAGUAUCUGUUCUUAUCAGUUUAAUAUCUGAUAUGUGGGCCAUGUGCCCACAACGAUAUUAAAUUUAUUUUUUGUGGGGAGGGAUCAUUACAAUGGCUUGCCAUUGGGUCCCUUAGGUGUCGCUUGGGCGUUGUACUACAGCCCAGGCAGGCGCACCCUAA